CGGCUGGCACCUCCGCAGAUACUCACAGUUUGUCACGGUGCUGGUUGAGCUAGAGAAUUAGGGAAUCACAGAAUCAUCGGGCUUGGAAAAGCCCUCCAAGGUCACCCAGUCCAACCAGUGUUCAGUGUCAACCUCUCACCCAGUCCUUCCCUGGACACCUUCGGGGAUGGACACUCCAAAGCGUCUUGCACAGCCCUUCCUGAGGCCUGACCACCCUUUCCAUGGAGAAAUUCCCGCUGAUGUCCAACCCUGACCGCCCUUUCCAUGGAGAAAUUCCCACUGAUGUCCAACCCUGAUCACCCUUUCCAUGGAGAAAUUCCCACUGAUGUCCAACCCUGACCGCCCUUUCCAUGGAGAAAUUCCUGCUGAUGUCCAACCCUGACCACCCUUUCCAUGGAGAAAUUCCCGCUGAUGUCCAACCCUGACCCUGAUGUCCAGCCCUGACCGCCCUUUCCAUGGAGAAAUUCCCGCUGAUGUCCAACUUAAACCAGCCCCGGUACAGUUUACGGCCACAUCUUCUUGUCCUGUUGCUGGUUAGAGAAAAGGCCAACCCCCACCUGGCUACAACCUCCUGUCAGGUGUGUUUGGAUCAUCUUUUACAAAGCCACAACCUUGUUUCCAUUCUCACGCCGAUGUGAACGAGCUGGUGUAAACAACUCACUGAAAUGAGGAGAUGCUCACAAUCCUCCCGUCUGCACAGAAAACAAACCGGUUUUUUCACUGCGGUCUCAAACUCUUGUCAAAGUCACAGGAAACGGCACAAGUGGAAGUAAAAUGCAUUUCUCUGCUGAAAAAUAUCCCUUCUGCUGCCUUGCUGGGAAGAAGAAACUGCAGGGGAGGAAGAUGGUGAUGGUGGCCAGCUCCAAACCCCACUUCUGACUCCCCCUCCCCUGAACUCCAACUCUUUCCACCAGCACGUUUUUAUUGUGUUUCAAGCAGAUAAAUAAAAUACAUCAAGACAAAUCAA